rnacentral:tRNA from 2 species
UGGCGGGUCGUCUAAUUGGCAGGACGGCGGACUUUGGAUCCGCUAGUCGGGGUUCGAGUCCCUGCCCGCCAGCCA